rnacentral:misc_RNA from 1 species
ACAAACUUGGUCAUUUAGAGGAAGUAAAAGUCGUAACAAGGUUUCCGUAGGUGAACCUGCGGAAGGAUCAUUAGAGAUUUAGUAAAUCCUAUCACCCAUGUGCAACCUGCGAAGUUUGAUAUCCUUGGAGAGAUCAUCGUCCGUGAACUCUCCAAGGAGGUUAUCACGAUUAAUGUAUCUUUUCUUUACUUUUCUAUGUCUAAAUCAAUGAAUGUAAUUAAAAAAACUUUCAACAACGGAUCUCUUGGCUCUCGCAUCGAUGAAGAACGCAGC